rnacentral:rRNA from 1 species
CGGCAGCACGAGGAGCUUGCUCCUUGGUGGCGAGUGGCGGACGGGUGAGUAAUGCGUAGGAAUCUACCCUAGAGUUGGGGACAACCCGCGGAAACGCGGGCUAAUACCGGAUACGCUCUGAGGAGUAAAGGUGGCCACUAUUUAUAAGCUAUCGCUUUGGGAUGAGCCUACGUCGGAUUAGCUAGUUGGUGAGGUAAAGGCUCACCAAGGCGACGAUCCGUAGCUGGUCUGAGAGGAUGAUCAGCCACACUGGGACUGAGACACGGCCCAGACUCCUACGGGAGGCAGCAGUGGGGAAUAUUGGACAAUGGGGGCAACCCUGAUCCAGCGAUGCCGCGUGUGUGAAGAAGGCCUGCGGGUUGUAAAGCACUUUAGUUGGGGAGGAAAGCCUUGAACUGAAUACGUUCAAGGGAUGACGUUACCCAAAGAAUAAGCACCGGCUAACUCUGUGCCAGCAGCCGCGGUAAUACAGAGGGUGCGAGCGUUAAUCGGAAUUACUGGGCGUAAAGGGCGCGUAGGUGGGUGGUCAAGUCAGCUGUGAAAGCCCUGGGCUCAACCUGGGAACUGCAGUUGAGACUGGCUGUCUAGAGUCG